ACGUUGUAGGCCUCCUCCAUUCAAUAAAAUAAAAAUGAAGGUUUCUUGCUUCUUGCUUCUCCUGGUGAUUUGUUUAGCUAUGAUGAUGCUAGACCAUCAGCCAAGCACAGGCUACAAAGCAAUGGCCUUAGUCUUGGACUGCAGUCCUGAAAUGGGUAAGGUUAAAAUUGCUUCUACCGACCAUUUCUCCACGGAAGUAAAGGUGGGGCAGCGAGGAAGGAGAUCCCGGAGGGCAAUUCCAUCACCACCUCCCCCAAAACCCAAUAGAUUGGGUCGUUGGAAGUGGAUCGCUCCACCCGUAUUUGGUGCCCCUCCGACACCGACACCACCUAUGCCAUCGUCGCCGCCGCCCCCAUCUCCACUAUCGUCAUCUAAAGGCGCAUGAAUUUUAGAGUAGCAUAUGAAAACGUUUUCGUUUUCUCUGUUCUUUUUUAUUUUUAUUUUGAUUUUUUUUAUUUGCGAGUUCUUGUUGUGGCAAGAGAUGAAUGUAUUUCAUCUUUUUCUCUAUGGCCAAGUCAUGGCAAUGGAGAUAUGGAAGAUGGAAAAAUCCAAUAAAAAUCUAGCUCAUUUCCUUUAAUGACAUGGGGCCUCUGAGAUUUACCUCUUGUUUUUCUUCCUUAAUUUAUACUCCAUUUGUUGUUCCGAUUUGCUGGUCUAGAGCCUGCAGUUUAUGUGCAUGAGGAAAUUCAAGUUUUCAAA